CCUACGGGUGGCAGCAGUGGGGGAUAUUGCACAAUGGGGGAAACCCUGAUGCAGCGACGCCGCGUGUGGGAAGACGGUCCUCUGGAUUGUAAACCACUGUCCCCAGGGACGAAGAUGACGGUACCUGGGGAGGAAGCUCCGGCAAACUACGUGCCAGCAGCCGCGGUAAUACGUAGGGAGCGGGCGUUGUCCGGAAUUACUGGGUGAAAAGGGAGCGUAGGCGGGACUGCAGGUUGGUUGUCAAAUCUACCGGCCAACCCGGUAGCCGCACUUAAAACUGGAGUUCUUGAGUGAAGUAGAGGCAGGCGGAAUUCCUGGUGUAGCGGUGAAAUGCGUAGAUAUUAGGAGGAACACCAGUGGCGAAGGCAGUCUGCUGGGCUGUUACUGACGCUGAGGCUCGAAAGUGUGGGGAGCAAACAGGAUUAGAUACCCUUGUAGUC
rnacentral:rRNA from 1 species